AGCGGAGAGGAGCAGAAUUAGCAUCUUGCGAUUAUUAUAGAAGAGAUGAAACACUACAUAUGUCAUCAAUCUUUUUAUCCGGCAAUUGAAACCCCAUCCACAAGAUAUGGAGGAGCUUGCGAGAGUGAUCCGGCUAAAUCAAGAUUCGAUCGACUUUCCGGUAUGGACUCCCUCGACUCGUGGGCUCCACUGCAUUCGACGCGUCCUAUGACGUGGACAUAUUUCCGGAGUCUUCCUUCAUGCUGACGCCAGCGGCGGAUGCACCUGAAGAUGAUUUGAACUACGGGGAAAUGAUACCGAGGGUGUUGGUUUGGGUUCGAAUGUAUAGGUGCCGAAACCGCAUCUCCCUCUCACCGUUGUUGUCUGAUGAGCCGUCUCCUUCUCUCUUCCAAAUCGAACCAACACCUCAAUUUUGCCUGCACUUUGACUCAUCCCAUCGCCGUUCCCAACAGAAACCCUUCGCCUCGCCCACCCUCGUCCCUCCUCCCACUCACCUUCCAUUCUUCCCAAGAACACUUGGAGGAGGAGGAAGAGGAGGCGAAGUAGCCCGAUUCCAUUCUGUGAACCCCAUUGUGAUUAGGGCUUUCGAUGGGGUCGUUUCAUCCUUUGCCCUAGUUUGCUGUUCCCGUCAAUCUGGUCUUCUUGUUAAUAUCAAUCGUGGCGUGGUGGAAUAGGGCGAGGAGCUGCAGGGUUUAGAGCAUGGCGGAGGCGGCGAAGCUCCGGCGGCCGUUGGUUCCUUGCGUCCGAGACUUCCCUAAAGGGUGCGGCCCUCACGCGGUGGUAGUUGGAUGGAAGCCGAAGGAGGCCCUGCCGCCUCUUCCGCCGCCCCCACCUGCUCCGGAAUCCAAGGAACUUGCCGCCUGUAACGAGGUCGCCGAGCCUGGCGUUUGUGGGCCUCCUGAGGGGGCCCCGGCCGACAUAGAGGGGAAGCCUUGCUUGACGGUCGGUACUAUGAAACCUCACGUUGUGGAUUCUUCGACGAUGGGUUCGGGAAAUGUUGCAGCCGUUAAAGUGGAGCAAGAAGAGGAACUGGACCAGGGCAUGGAGGAGUCUUCUAUUCACAACCGUGAAGUAGAGCUGCCGUUGCCGUUGUUUUUGGAGAAUGGACUCGAACAGUCCAAAGCAUCAGUUGUAUCUAGAACGGAUGAAACACUGAAUGCGGACGGUGAUCUGGUAAAGCAAUGUUCACCGAAGAUGUACCCUCCUUCGUCAAGGAAAGCUGUCUCAGCUGUUCGGGAUUAUCCAAUCGGUUGCGGAGUAAAUGCUCCUCGUAUGAGCAGGGAGGAGGCCUUAAAACUUGCAGCGAAUGCUUCAUCAAAGAGCAAGAGUCCGAUAGAGGAGAAGAUGCCUGCUGUGGAUCAACAAACAGUGGCCCCAAAAGAUUUUGCUACUGUUGAAGUUCCUGCUGACAAUAAGGUUGCCAAGGGGAUGGAGGAAAGGACUGAGAUCAAGAAGAUUGAAGAAGAAACUCUCCUGGUAGAAGCUAAGGUUUUGAAGUCUCCCCUUCCCUCUCCCAAGAUCAAGAGUUUGGAAGCAGAAAAGCAGUCUCUUUCUGGAGAAAAUAGGGAGAAGAAAUUACCUAUUAGAGCAGCUCCUGAUGAAAGGUUGGGUGUGCAGGCAAUCAAACAACUUAACAGGGAUGCUCAAAGGAGCAUGACACCUGAUCUUGAUAAAGUAGCUGCAAGGGGGGAGAGACUUUCAUUGGGGAAAUCAACUGAUAAAAUGGUGACGAAAUAUCAAAAGGUUAGUAAAAGUACCAAGAGAAAGUUCUUAGAUGCAACUGUGGAUGAAAAUGAUGCUAGGAUUGACCACAAUCUGGAUGUUGAGAAGCUGGAAGCUCAUGGCGAAAGGCUGAUCAUUCAAGCUCUCAUGGCUGCUCCCAGAUGUCCAUGGAAGCAGGGUUUCAAGUCAGGUAAUUCUGGUUCUCGCUCUGUUGCGAUGCCAAAACACAAAGUGAAGAGGGAACAAACUACGUUGAACAUGCAACUUGCCUUGAAAGAAGUGGAGGAUGAGGAUACUGUGUCUGGUAAUUCUAGUUCUCAUUCUGUUGUGGUGCAUAAACGUAAGGCGAAGAGGGAACGAACCAAGUUGAAUAUGCAACUAGCCUUGAGGGACGUGGAGGAUGAGGAUAUUCUGUCUCACGGUGAAGAAAAUGAAAGAGCAGUUACAGUUUACCAAGGAUCCUAUGAGCAGAGUGUCAUAGACGCUCCACCCCUUUCAGUUUUUGAUGGAUCAGGAGAAUUGUCCGUCAACAUCCCUCCGAUUGUUCCUUCUGGAUGGAAUUAUAGUGGUGCUGAUAGUCAAGACAUAUUGGUUCGUCAUAAGGUUAGAAGAGCGCUGCGGCUCUUUCAAGUGGUUUGCAGGAAACUAUUGCAAACUGAGGAGGCAAAAUCAAAGGGGUUAGGCAAGACAAAGAGGGUUGACCUGACUGCAGCUGAUAUCCUUAAACAAAAAGGUGAAUGGGUUAACACUGGUAAGCAGAUCAUAGGUAUUGUUCCUGGCGUUGAAGUUGGAGAUGAAUUUCAUUUCAGGGUGGAGCUCUCCAUUGUUGGUCUUCAUCGCCCAUUUCAAGGAGGCAUAGAUGCCCUAAAGAAAAAUGGUAUAUACGUUGCAACAAGUAUUGUGGCUUCUGGGGGAUAUAAUGAUGAUAUGGAUAGCUCAGAUGUCUUGAUAUACUCUGGUUCUGGAGGAAAUCCUGCCGGUACAGAUAAGCCACCAGAAGACCAAAAGCUUCAGCGUGGAAAUCUGGCACUGAAGAACAGUAUUGACACAAAGACUCCUGUUCGAGUUAUUCAUGGAAUUAAGGAGAUGAAAGGAGGAAGUUCCCACGAUGGAAGGUCCAAACUAGUCUCAACGUUAACUUAUGCUGGUUUGUAUUUGGUUGAGAAGUACUGGCAGGAGAAAGGGCCUCAUGGCUUCUUUGUUUAUAAGUUCCAGUUAAGAAGAAUGCCAGGACAACCAGAACUUGCUCUUCAAGAAGUCAGAAAAACAAAGAGGUCAAAAGUACGAGAAGGUUUGUGCGUGAAGGAUAUAUCAGAUGGGCAGGAGAAGAUACCAAUUUGUGUAAUCAACACAGUAAAUGAUGAGCACCCUCCUCCCUUCAAGUACAUAACAGAGAUCAAAUAUCCUUCAUGGUAUGUGAAGAAUCCUCCAGAAGGUUGUGAUUGCGUGAAUGGCUGCUCCGAUUCAGGGAGGUGUGCAUGUGCUGUGAAGAAUGGAGGUGAAAUUCCAUUCAACUUUAAUGGUGCUAUUGUGCAAGCAAAACCUCUUCUGUAUGAGUGUGGCCCGUCCUGCAAGUGUCCCUCAUCAUGCCACAACAGGGUUAGCCAGCAUGGAAUCCAAAUACCACUAGAAAUUUUCAGGACAAAAACAAGGGGCUGGGGGGUGAGAUCAUUAUAUUCCAUUCCGUCAGGAAGUUUUAUAUGCGAGUACAUCGGGGAGCUGCUUCAGGAUAAAGAAGCUGAAAAGAGGAGUAACGAUGAGUAUCUUUUUGAUAUUGGUCAUAACUAUGAUGAUCACUCUCUCUGGGAGGGACUUCCUUCUCUUAUUCCAGGCUUGAAGACUAGUUCCCAGCGUGAAACUGUGGACGAUGUGGGUUUCACCAUUGAUGCAGCUGAGUAUGGGAAUGUGGGAAGAUUUAUUAAUCAUAGCUGUUCACCUAACCUCUAUGCACAAAAUGUUCUUUACGAUCAUGACGACAAGAGAGUACCACACAUAAUGCUUUUUGCUGCUGAAAAUAUUCCUCCAUUACAAGAACUGACAUAUCACUAUAACUAUUCGUUAGAUCAGGUCCGUGAUGCAGAUGGUAACAUAAAACAGAAAGACUGCUAUUGUGGGUCUCCUGAAUGCACUGGAAGACUUUAUUGAGAUUGCCUUUUAUCAAUUGAGUUCAGUCCUAGACAUGUUGUUGUGGUUGGCAUCUUUUUGUCAUCUUUUUGCUCAUGACAAGUUUGUCACUGCCACUGAUCAUAUGGGCCAACUGAAUAUUGAGAUGACUAUAUUUGUCAUGUAAUCUGGUGGUUCUGGUAUCAUAUGAAAUCCAGCAAAGGUGCAACAGAGUUUUUUUUUUUUCGAGGUGACUAUGACAGUGAACCACCUCAGCUGCACAUCACUAAAGUUGCUCCAUCGUGACAUAGGCAUCAACGGUCCAAAUCAUGUGAACAGCUUGUCUACAUGCAAAGAUAAGACCAUGUACAUAUGAAGCCCCUAGAUUCUGCAGAAGCUUUUGGAACUGGACUGAUCAUUUGUGGCGUUGAACCUUGACACCAUAUGGAAUAGAGAGCUGUACUGCAGACACUUCAUUUUGAAUUACAACUUUCAAGUCUUCUUCUCUUGGGAGAACAAACAUAUGCCUGAUGCGACCCAGAAGCAUAACCAAGGUUGGUAUGUUACACCAAUUAUAUGAACUUGGAUUUACGCUGUUGUGCAUUUUGGGGCUUUGUUGAGCAGCUUUUUACUACUUCACACUUGGUACCUGUUGCCAUUUUUGUGUUGCUCAAAACUAUUGCAAGGAGCUUCAUAUUAUCUGUAUCUCUAUGUGUGUCUUCCUCCUGCUCUUGAUAAUGAGUAAUGUUCAUGCUGUUUUCAGUUCAGUUUA